rnacentral:rRNA from 1 species
ACACAUCCAAGUGGGCGGUGAAGCCAAGCUUGCUUGGUGGAUCAGUGGCGAACGGGUGAGUAACACGUGAGCAACCUGCCCUGAACUCUGGGAUAAGCGCUGGAAACGGCGUCUAAUACUGGAUAUGAGCUGCGGAGGCAUCUUCGUGGUUGGAAAGAUUUUUCGGUUUGGGAUGGGCUCGCGGCCUAUCAGCUUGUUGGUGAGGUAAUGGCUCACCAAGGCGUCGACGGGUAGCCGGCCUGAGAGGGUGACCGGCCACACUGGGACUGAGACACGGCCCAGACUCCUACGGGAGGCAGCAGUGGGGAAUAUUGCACAAUGGGCGGAAGCCUGAUGCAGCAACGCCGCGUGAGGGAUGACGGCCUUCGGGUUGUAAACCUCUUUUAGCAGGGAAGAAGCGAAAGUGACGGUACCUGCAGAAAAAGCGCCGGCUAACUACGUGCCAGCAGCCGCGGUAAUACGUAGGGCGCAAGCGUUAUCCGGAAUUAUUGGGCGUAAAGAGCUCGUAGGCGGUUUGUCGCGUCUGCUGUGAAAUCUGGGGGCUCAACCCCCAGCCUGCAGUGGGUACGGGCAGACUAGAGUGCGGUAGGGGAGAUUGGAAUUCCUGGUGUAGCGGUGGAAUGCGCAGAUAUCAGGAGGAACACCGAUGGCGAAGGCAGAUCUCUGGGCCGUAACUGACGCUAAGGAGGCGAAAGGGUGGGGAAGCAAACAGGCUUAGAUACCCUGGUAGUCCACCCCGUAACCUUGGGAACUAGUUGUGGGGUCCAUUCCACGGAUUCCGUGACGCAGCUAACGCAUUAAGUUCCCCGCCUGGGGAGUACGGCCGCAAGGCUAAAACUCAAAGGAAUUGACGGGGACCCGCACAAGCGGCGGAGCAUGCGGAUUAAUUCGAUGCAACGCGAAGAACCUUACCAAGGCUUGACAUACACGAGAACGCUGCAGAAAUGUAGAACUCUUUGGACACUCGUGAACAGGUGGUGCAUGGUUGUCGUCAGCUCGUGUCGUGAGAUGUUGGGUUAAGUCCCGCAACGAGCGCAACCCUCGUUCUAUGUUGCCAGCACGUAAUGGUGGGAACUCAUGGGAUACUGCCGGGGUCAACUCGGAGGAAGGUGGGGAUGACGUCAAAUCAUCAUGCCCCUUAUGUCUUGGGCUUCACGCAUGCUACAAUGGCCGGUACAAAGGGCUGCAAUACCGCGAGGUGGAGCGAAUCCCAAAAAGCCGGUCCCAGUUCGGAUUGAGGUCUGCAACUCGACCUCAUGAAGUCGGAGUCGCUAGUAAUCGCAGAUCAGCAACGCUGCGGUGAAUACGUUCCCGGGUCUUGUACACACCGCCCGUCAAGUCAUGAAAGUCGGUAACACCUGAAGCCGGUGGCCCAACCCUUGUGGAGGGAGCCGUCGAAGGUGGGAUCGGUAAC